CAAGUCGUGCGGAAAGGUCUCUUCGGAGAUACUCGAGCGGCGGACGGCAGAGUAACGCGUAGGAACAUACCCCAAACUGAGGGAUAACUGCUCGAAAGAGUAGCUAAUACCGCAUGUGGUCUUCGGAUUAAAGCUUCGGCGGUUUGGGAAUGGCCUGCGUCCGAUUAGCUAGUUGGUGAGGUAAUAGCUCACCAAGGCGACGAUCGGUAGCUGGUCUGAGAGGAUGAUCAGCCUGACUGGAACUGAGAACGGUCCAGACUCC
rnacentral:rRNA from 1 species